GAGGAGAAGAAAACAAAAGUGAUUCCGAUAGUAGCGGCGAGCGAAAUUGGAUUAGCCCAAACCAGUAUUGUUACGGCAAUGCUGGGGUUGUAGGACCACGAUAUUCGAGUCAAGAUGAAUUAGAACAGUUUGGAAAGACUGACCAAAGAGGGUGAUAGUCCCGUAUAAGUAAAGAAUGAUAAGAUAGUGGUAUCCUGAGUAGUGCGGGGCACGUGUAACCCUGUGUGAAUCAGUCGGGACCAUCCGAUAAGGCUAAAUACUCCUGAGAGACCGAUAGUGAACAAGUACCGUGAGGGAAAGGUGAAAAGCACCCCGAUGAGGG
rnacentral:rRNA from 1 species